UACGGAGGGUGCAAGCAUUAAUCGGAUUUAUUGGGCGUAAAGGGCGCGUAGGCGGAUGGAUAAGUCAGAUGUGAAAUCCCGGGGCUCAACCUCGGAACAGCAUAUGAAACUAUCGAUCUAGAGGGUAGGCGGAGAAAACGGAAUUCCACAAGUAGCGGUGAAAUGCGUAGAUAUGUGGAAGAACACCGGUGGCGAAGGCGGUUUUCUAGCUUAUACCUGACGCUGAGGCGCGAAAGCAAGGGGAUCAAACAGG
rnacentral:rRNA from 1 species